rnacentral:rRNA from 1 species
UACGUAGGGGGCCAGCGUUGCUCGGAAUUACUGGGCGUAAAGGGUCCGUAGGCGGUGUAGCAAGUCGAUAGUGAAAUCUCUGGGCUUAACCCAGAGGCUGCUAACGAAACUGCUGUGCUAGAGUGUGAGAGAGGCGAGUGGAAUUACGGGUGUAGCGGUGACAUGCGUAGAUAUCCGUAGGAACACCCGUGGCGAAAGCGGCGCGCUGGACCACUACUGACGCUGAGGAACGAAAGCGAGGGGAGCAAACAGG